UACGUAUCUAGAGGUGAUGUCCCAGAACUAUAAGAACUUUAACCUCUGCUCGUCAAAGGACGUUCGGAGCUCAUACUACUGUUCAUGCUGGAGCUCUACCAGACGCGCUAUGUAGAGACAAAGAGCGUGAUGGUGAGGUUCCAAAGUCCCCUCCUGUACGAGCUCAAACAGUUCGUUUUCGAACCGUAGUCCCAGCCACGGCCAUGGCCGGCCUCGAGCCACUUCGCGUCCGGACUCCUAAGUCUAAAUACCGUCCCUGUGUUAGUUUAAAUAUGGUAUGCAACACUACUAUGUUCCUUUCAUUUGUAUCUACGUAUAAAACAAGUUGCAAUGCUAUGUUCCCUCUCAACCGGAUGCAGCGGUUGACUAGACGCCGUCGCACCUUCCUCUCAAGUUUUCGUCGUCCUCGCCGACAAGAUGACGACCAGCCUCCCUCUCGAACCGUUCCCUCUGUCUCCCUCGAGAUGUUGGUGCUAGAACCGUAUGUUGGGCUACCGUAGUACAGGUGCCUCGUUUGACGCAUCGUUCUAGUUAUUACUUACCAAGUUCAGUACAUAAUGUUCAAUGUUACUCGUCCUCCAUCAGUUCAGUCAACUACUAUUCCUAUAAUAAGCUUGUAAAUGACGUUACUGCAGAGCCUUUCCCGUAAACGGAACACUAACAGAAAUCACGCGAUAACCAUAAGCACGGAAGAUACUAAAACCGUUGUACCGCUCGAACGUCGUCCCCAGUCUCUUCCCGCGCAACACUGCCUGGAGGCGAGGAGACGCCUACGGAUUCGUCGCUACUCUGCGAAGUGCCUUAGCUCAGAUACUCAGAGAGACGUACGCGACGCCGCUCUCAUAUUCACGGAACUAGACACCGUGUCGAGGAUUGGGGUAAGGGAAACCAAAGCCGAACUGAGUAACACUUAAGACUACGCAUGAAAGAAAACCAGUCCCGUGGUACUCCAACGACGACUGAUGCUAAGGGUUGAAGGUCCUCUAUUCCAGCAACACUACCGAAAACUUACGGGCGUUACAUUACUUUCCUUGAUGCUCCAGGUCAAACGACCUGUCAAGGCCGGAUUAUUGGUUUCUACUACACACCGAUCUUUACUGUACUACAGAGCAAAUCGUACCGACAACAAGACUUGACAUUUGAUGUGGUCUCGCAACACACGUCUAUUAACUGCCCUUCCUCGAGGACUACCCUUCCUGUAUGUGACUGUUAGUAGUACACUUCUUCCAGUUCGUUAACUUACUAACCUUUAUACAUUGAUGUAAUGGUAGAGCCUGAUUAGUUGGUAAACUUUCUGUAAUACACGAGCCCCUCGUUUUUGAAAACCCGUCUGUGGAACCACCAAAAAAGCAUGAUAAUUCCUCCGUGGUAACGUUGGACUUGUUCCAAACACUCGUGGAUCGAAUUAGGAAGACAUACCUAGGAUGUUCGUCUUCAGUAGGUGUAGUGCAAAAUUAUAAGACCUCAUAAUAAAGUAGGGAUCGAGGUGAACGACGAGUUUUGGACACGUAUGGUAUCAAACUGUUGGUCGUCUGGGGAUCUUAGACAACGUACCUCACUC
rnacentral:rRNA from 1 species